GUGGGGAAUCUUGCGCAAUGGGCGAAAGCCUGACGCAGCCAUGCCGCGUGAAUGAUGAAGGUCUUAGGAUUGUAAAAUUCUUUCACCGGGGACGAUAAUGACGGUACCCGGAGAAGAAGCCCCGGCUAACUUCGUGCCAGCAGCCGCGGUAAUACGAAGGGGGCUAGCGUUGCUCGGAAUUACUGGGCGUAAAGGGCGCGUAGGCGGACAGUUUAGUCAGAGGUGAAAGCCCAGGGCUCAACCUUGGAAUUGCCUUUGAUACUGGCUGUCUUGAGUACGGAAGAGGUGAGUGGAACUCCGAGUGUAGAGGUGAAAUUCGUAGAUAUUCGUAAGAACACCAGUGGCGAAGGCGACUCACUGGCCCGUUACUGACGCUGAGGCGCGAAAGCGUGGGGAGCAAACAGGAUUAGAUACCCGAGUAGUCC
rnacentral:rRNA from 1 species